rnacentral:rRNA from 1 species
UCCAGUUGUUUGGGGAAUGCAGCUCUAAGUGGGUGGGUAAAUUCCAUCUAAAGCUAAAUAUUGGCGAGAGACCGAUAGCCGAACAAGUACAGUGAUGGAAAGAUGAAAAGAACUUUGAAAAGAGAGUGAAAAAGUACCUGAAAUUGUUUGAAAGGGAAGGGUUUGAGAUCAGACUCGAUAUUUUGUGAGCCCUUGCCUUCGUGGCGGGGUGACCCCACCUUUAUCCGGGCCANCAUCGGUUUGGGCCGGG